rnacentral:rRNA from 1 species
AUUGAACGCUGGCGGCAGGCUUAACACAUGCAAGUCGAACGAGUGGCGGACGGGUGAGUAAUGCUUGGGAAUCUAGCUUAUGGAGGGGGAUAACUACGGGAAACUGUAGCUAAUACCGCGUACCAUAGGAUGAGCCCAAGUGGGAUUAGGUAGUUGGUGAGGUAAAGGCUCACCAAGCCGACGAUCUCUAGCUGGUCUGCGAGGAUGACCCGCCACACUGGGACUGAGAAACGGCCCCGGCUCCUACGGGGGGCAGCAGUGGGGAAUAUUGCGCAAUGGGGGCAACCUGACGCAGCCAGGCCGCGUGAAUGAAGAAGGCCUUCGGGUUGUAAAGUUCUUUCGGGAGCGAGGCGUUACCAACAGAAUAAGCACCGGCUAACUCCGUGCCAGCAGCCGCGGUAAUAC